rnacentral:pre_miRNA from 1 species
UAUUAAAAACUCUAUUCAUUUGUACUGUUAACUAACCAAACAGUGACAUAUGGCAUGUCACGUGCACCUCAUGCUAACAUACAGGAAUCAAUUUUUAACAAUAUAAAUAGAUGUGAUUUUUAAUA